GCUUAACACAUGCAAGUCGAGGGGCAGCAUGGUCUUAGCUUGCUAAGGCCGAUGGCGACCGGCGCACGGGUGAGUAACACGUAUCCAACCUGCCGUCUACUCUUGGACAGCCUUCUGAAAGGAAGAUUAAUACAAGAUGGCAUCAUGAGUCCGCAUGUUCACAUGAUUAAAGGUAUUCCGGUAGACGAUGGGGAUGCGUUCCAUUAGAUAGUAGGCGGGGUAACGGCCCACCUAGUCUUCGAUGGAUAGGGGUUCUGAGAGGAAGGUCCCCCACAUUGGAACUGAGACACGGUCCAAACUCCUACGGGAGGCAGCAGUGAGGAAUAUUGGUCAAUGGGCGAGAGCCUGAACCAGCCAAGUAGCGUGAAGGAUGACUGCCCUAUGGGUUGUAAACUUCUUUUAUAAAGGAAUAAAGUCGGGUAUGGAUACCCGUUUGCAUGUACUUUAUGAAUAAGGAUCGGCUAACUCCGUGCCAGCAGCCGCGGUAAUACGGAGGAUCCGAGCGUUAUCCGGAUUUAUUGGGUUUAAAGGGAGCGUAGAUGGAUGUUUAAGUCAGUUGUGAAAGUUUGCGGCUCAACCGUAAAAUUGCAGUUGAUACUGGAUAUCCUGAGUGCAGUUGAGGUAGGCGGAAUUCGUGGUGUAGCGGUGAAAUGCUUAGAUAUCACGAAGAACUCCGAUUGCGAAGGCAGCCUGCUAAGCUGCAACUGACAUUGAGGCUCGAAAGUGUGGGUAUCAAACAGGAUUAGAUACCCUGGUAGUCCACACGGUAAACGAUGAAUACUCGCUGUUUGCGAUAUACAGCAAGCGGCCAAGCGAAAGCGUUAAGUAUUCCACCUGGGGAGUACGCCGGCAACGGUGAAACUCAAAGGAAUUGACGGGGGCCCGCACAAGCGGAGGAACAUGUGGUUUAAUUCGAUGAUACGCGAGGAACCUUACCCGGGCUUAAAUUGCAGAUGAAUUACGGUGAAAGCCGUAAGCCGCAAGGCAUCUGUGAAGGUGCUGCAUGGUUGUCGUCAGCUCGUGCCGUGAGGUGUCGGCUUAAGUGCCAUAACGAGCGCAACCCUUGUUGUCAGUUACUAACAGGUUCCGCUGAGGACUCUGACAAGACUGCCAUCGUAAGAUGUGAGGAAGGUGGGGAUGACGUCAAAUCAGCACGGCCCUUACGUCCGGGGCUACACACGUGUUACAAUGGGGGGUACAGAGGGCCGCUACCACGCGAGUGGAUGCCAAUCCCCAAAACCUCUCUCAGUUCGGACUGGAGUCUGCAACCCGACUCCACGAAGCUGGAUUCGCUAGUAAUCGCGCAUCAGCCACGGCGCGGUGAAUACGUUCCCGGGCCUUGUACACACCGCCCGUCAAGCCAUGGGAGCCGGGGGUACCUGAAGUGCGUAACCGCGAGGAGCGCCCUAGGGUAAAACUGGUGACUGGGGCUAAGUCAU
rnacentral:rRNA from 1 species